AGAAUAUUGCACAAUGGACGAAAGUCUGAUGCAGCGACACCGCGUGAAGGAUGAAGGCCCUAGGGUUGUAAACUUCUUUUAUUAGGGAAUAGCAAGGAAGGUACCUAAUGAAUAAGCAACGGCUAACUACGUGCCAGCAGCCGCGGUAAUACGUAGGUUGCAAACGUUGUCCGGAAUCACUGGGCGUAAAGGGUCCGUAGGCGGUUUGAUAAGUCUCAUAUGAAAGCUUCAAGCUCAACUUGGAGAUGUUGUGAGAUACUGUCAGACUAGAGACUGUUAGAGGUAAGUGGAAUUCCAGGUGUAGUGGUGAAAUGCGUAGAUAUCUGGAGGAACACCAGUGGCGAAAGCGACUUACUGGGACAGUUCUGACGCUAAGGGACGAAAGCGUGGGGAGCGAACCGGAUUAGAUACCCGGGUAGUCCACGCUGUAAACGAUGAUUGCUAGGUUUUCGGGGCAUCGACCCCUCGUGAGCCGAAGUUAACGCGUUAAGCAAUCCGCCUGAGUAGUACGGCCGCAAGGCUAAAACUCAAAGGAAUUGACGGGGGACCGCACAAGCAGCGGAGCGUGUGGUUUAAUUCGAUGGUAAGCGAAGAACCUUACCAGGGUUUGACAUGUAAGUAGUACUGAACCGAAAGGGGAUGGACCCGCAAGGGAGCUUACACAGGUGUUGCAUGGUUGUCGUCAGCUCGUGCCGUGAGGUGUUGGGUUAAGUCCCGCAACGAGCGCAACCCUCUUUGUUAGUUGCACUCUCUAACGAUACUGCCCUUAAAAGGGAGGAAGGUGGGGAUGACGUCAAAUCAUCAUGGCUCUUACACCCUGGGCUACACACACGCUACAAUGGCAAGUACAGACGGUCGCCAACCCGCGAGGGGGAGCUAAUCCGAUAAAACUUGUCUCAGUUGGGAUUGCAGGCUGAAAUUCGCCUGCAUGAACGUGGAGUUGCUAGUAAACGCAGGUCAGCACACUGCGUUGAAUACGUUCC
rnacentral:rRNA from 1 species